UGAUUUUUGGGUAGAAAGGAA
rnacentral:piRNA from 1 species